GCCCGGGUGGCUGGGUCGGUUAAGCAUCUGACUCCGGCUCAGGUCAUGAUCUCACGGUUCAUGGGUUCGAGCCCUGCUUUGGGCU
rnacentral:tRNA from 1 species